rnacentral:ncRNA from 1 species
GCCCCGUAUUACGGGGCUUUCAACCAUGGAUACCGGCAACAACCACAUCCUUUUCGAACAUUGGCACGCCCCCUGCAAUACCCCAAACACAACCCAGUUUCGGGAACCUUGGUACAGGCAGGCCGGGGAUUCCCUCUUUAACACCAGGGCUCAUCACGCUCACAGCGACGAGCCCACCCGUUUUGGGAACCUUGGUACAGGCAGGCCGGGGAUUCCCUCUUUUACACCGGGCUC